AGGAAAAGAAACUAACAAGGAUUCCCCUAGUAACGGCGAGUGAACCGGGAAAAGCUCAAAUUUGAAAUCUGGCUGUCUUCGAUAGUCCGAGUUGUAAUCUAUAGAAGCGUUUUCCGUGCUGAACUGUGUCUAAGUCCCUUGGAACAGGGUAUCAAAGAGGGUGAUAAUCCCGUACUUGACACAACCAUCAGUGCUCUGUGAUACGUUCUCUACGAGUCGAGUUGUUUGGGAAUGCAGCUCAAAAUGGGUGGUAAAUUCCAUCUAAAGCUAAAUAUUGGCGAGAGACCGAUAGCGAACAAGUACCGUGAGGGAAAGAUGAAAAGCACUUUGGAAAGAGAGUUAAACAGUACGUGAAAUUGUUGAAAGGGAAACGAUUGAAGUCAGUCGUGUUCAUUGGAUUCAGCUAGUUCUUCUAGUCUACUUCCUUUGAACGGGUCAACAUCAGUUUUGUCCGGUGGAUAAAGGAUUUAGGAAUGUGACUCCCUCGGGAGUGUUAUAGCCUAGGUUCACAUACACUGGGUGAGACUGAGGACUGCAGCGUCGCCUUUUGGCCGGGUUC
rnacentral:rRNA from 1 species